GCGGUCAUGGCGGAAUUGGCAGACGCGCAUGGUUCAGGUCCAUGUGCUCGCAAGGGCAUGGAGGUUCAAGUCCUCUUGGCCGCACCA
rnacentral:tRNA from 1 species